AUGGCUAAACGUGAUCCCAGGAAACCAAAGGACAAAAUGUCUGCUUAUGCCUUCUUUGUGCAGAUGUGCAGAGAAGGACAUAGAAGAAAAUCCCAGAGGUCCCUGUCAAUUUUGCAGAAUUUUCCAAGAAGUCCUCUGAGAGGUGCAAGACAGUGGGAAAGAGAAGUCUAAAUCUGAUGAAAUUGCAAAGGCAGAUAAAGUAUGCUAUGAUCGGGAAAUGGAGGAUAACAGACCAGCUAAGGGAGGCAAGAAGAAGUUUCCUAAUGCCCCCAAAAGGCCAUCCUCUAUAUUAUUUCUGUUCUGUUCAGAAUUCCUCCCCAAGACCAAAUCCACAAACCCUGGCAUCUCUACUGGAGAUGUGGCAAAAAGCUGGGUGAGAUGUGGAAUAACUUAAACGACAGUGAAAAGCAGCCUUACAUCACAAAGGCGGCAAAGCUGAAGGAGAAGUAUGAGAAGGAUGUUGUUGACUUUAAGUCUAAAGGAAACUUUGAUGGCACAAAGGGUCCUGCUAAAGUUGCCUGGAAAAAUGUGGAAGAAGAAUAUGAAGAAGAUGAGGAAGAAGAAGAAAGAGGAGGAUCAUGA
rnacentral:lncRNA from 1 species